rnacentral:rRNA from 1 species
GUGUCAGCAGCCGCGGUAACACCCGCAGCUCGAGUGGUGGUCACUUUUAUUGAGCCUAAAGCGUUUGUAGCCGGAUCUGUAAAUCUCCAGGCAAAUUCCUUCGCUUAACGAAGGAUCUUCUGGAGAGACUGCAGAUCUAGGGACCGGGUGAGGUUGAAUGUACUUCCGGGGUAGGGGCUAAAUCCUGUAAUCCUGGAAGGACGACCGGUGGCGAAGGCGUUCAACUAGAACGGAUCCGACGGUGAGGAACGAGGGCUAGGGGAGCAAACCGGAUUAGAUACCCCCGUAGUCC